GUAGUAUUAUAGUGGUGAGUAUUCCCGCCUAUCACGCGGGUGACCCGAGUUCGAUCCCCGGCAAC
rnacentral:tRNA from 1 species